rnacentral:rRNA from 2 species
GAUAUUUCGAACGCACAUUGCGGUCUUGGGAUACUAUUUCCAGACCACGCCUGACUGAGGGUCGUA